AUUUAUUUAUUUAUUUAUUAAAUUUUUGCAGUGCAUAUGAGGGUAACAUACAGGCAUGCGGUACCCCAACGGCAGUCCACUUGCAUAUAUCAGAACAAUGAUAACAGUAGGGUAUGUGGGAACAGUGCACAAAUUUUAUAUUUAAGUACAAGAUGGUCAUUUUAAGAGGACACAUAUAGUAGAGGAACACCGUGUGAUUUGAACAGAACGGUAUGGCAUAGAAGAAACAGGCUGUGUAUCUAAGGUUAAACUCUAUGGGGUAGGUAACACCAGAUGAGGGUUAGCCUGCUGUGCUUAUAAGUAUACUAUGAUAUGACAAGAGUGCUACACAUAACACAGUAACAUCAUGCUUUUAGGAAGGUAGAGCCUGACAUGUCGGUAGAUUAUACUGUAGAAAGGAAGUAUGUGGAAACAUGAGUAUGCUAACUGACUGCUUAAAAGAUGAUGGUGUUACAAUGUGUUGAACAUAAAUGAGAGGUAAAAACAAUUGGGUUAGCAGGUAGUUGGGACUAAGCACAUGGAGGCCAUCCCCUAGAAUGAGUGAGAAAGUCCCCUGCAUGGCCUCAAAUACCUUGUGUAUAAGUCCAUCAGGAUCUGGCCCAGGCUGAGAUCUAGGUUGUUGCGUGCUGGGCUCCCCUCAGAGUACCUUCCGUGUUGCAGCGUUGUCCCUUUGCCAUGUGGGAAAGGGAGGGGAGGGUUCGUGGCAGUGGCGUGUCCCCCUGCCCAGCUUCUAAAGGUUGCUGAUCUCGGCCGGGAGGCAGGGGUGCUAGCAUGUCUUCGGACAGUAGGUGUUCGCUUUACUGGUGCACCUUCUGGACCGCCCCUCCGACGGAAUGCCGGUAAUUGCGCUGAGUUUCGCUUGGUUUUUGCGGCAGGACGGUGGUUGCGUUGUGGCCGCCUACUUGGAGCCAGAGCAGCUGGAAGGCACAGAGUGCUCGGGGGCUGCUCGUGUAGUGAGGUAGGGCCCGGCGUCUGCAGGGUGGGUGCUUGUAGUCAGCUGUUUAAUUUCGCCCAGAAGUCCACAAAGAUUUUGUCUAGCGUGGUCUGCGCACGUGGCAUCAGCCAUCUUUGGUGGUUCGCUGCAUUUCAGCAUUGGUCGGCCACAAUGCAGUAAUGCUUGUAUCAGUGGGGGUGCUUCCUGGACCGGGAUAUCCCCCACCGGUCCAGGGGGGGGGAAACGGGGCUCCUAAAGGUGAUUUCAGCCGCUUUCGGGGUGGUCCCCUAUGUGAGAUCGGCCGCUUCUCCAGGGUACACCAGGCCACAGAUCAAUCAGUCCACUCUCCGGGAGUGUGUCAGCUUCAAGUAAGGUAUUGUCGCUUGCAUUGAGCUCAGGUGCAGCGAGAGAGGGUUAGAUUUCGUUGUUUAGUCGAGUUUGUGGGUAUAAAACCUCAAACUAGUGCCUAAACGUCCGGAGUUCAUUCCCAACACGUCUACCCGGCAUGGCAGUCACACC